ACAAUUUUUAAACUUUACACGCAAACAAAACAAAUUAUGGCUGAAACUCUCAUGUUUUUUCAAAUUAUGUUUACUUUUAUUUUUAUAUUUACCAUUGUAAUUGAAGCCCUCCCUAAAUAUAAUUUCAAUAAGAAGUGUUUUAAUGACAAGGAUUGCCCUAAAUUUCUAUGUAUACCUCCUAGUGUUCCAAAGUGCUUAAGGAACCAUUGUCGAUGUGAUGACAAUUGAAUCGCAUCCUCAAAAGUUAUAAAAAAUUGUCAUUAGUGCUACCAUUAUUGAUAAUAAUUUUACCUUCCCCACUUUUUGAUCAAGUUCAAAAAUAUAUUUGUGGUAGUUCUAAGAGUAUAAUUGUAUUUGUAAAGUUGGUACUUUUAUGCUUUA